GAUGAACGCUAGCGGGAGGCCUAACACAUGCAAGCCGAGCGGUAGAGUUUCUUCGGAAACUUGAGAGCGGCGCACGGGUGCGUAACACGCGUGCAACCUACCUUUAUCUGGGGGAUAGCCUUUCGAAAGGAAGAUUAAUACCCCAUAAUAUAAUGAUUGGCAUCAAUUAUUAUUGAAAACUCCGGUGGAUAGAGAUGGGCACGCGCAAGAUUAGAUAGUUGGUGAGGUAACGGCUCACCAAGUCAAUGAUCUUUAGGGGUCCUGAGAGGGAGAUCCCCCACACUGGUACUGAGACACGGACCAGACUCCUACGGGAGGCAGCAGUGAGGAAUAUUGGACAAUGGGUGAGAGCCUGAUCCAGCCAUCCCGCGUGAAGGAUGACGGUCCUAUGGAUUGUAAACUUCUUUUGUACAGGGAUAAACCUACCCUCGUGAGGGUAGCUGAAGGUACUGUACGAAUAAGCACCGGCUAACUCCGUG
rnacentral:rRNA from 1 species